UACGUAGGGGCCGAGCGUUGUCCGGAUUUAUUGGGCGUAAAGCGCGUGUAGGCGGCCACGCAGGUCCGCUGUGAAAACUCGAGGCUCAACCUCGAGCUGUCGGUGGAAACCGCGUGGCUAGAGUCCGGAAGAGGGGACUGGAAUUCCCGGUGUAGCGGUGGAAUGCGCAGAUAUCGGGAGGAACACCCGUGGCGAAGGCGGGUCCCUGGGACGGUACUGACGCUGAGACGCGAAAGCGUGGGGAGCGAACAGG
rnacentral:rRNA from 1 species